CCUCACAUUUUGCUUAGUUAAUUCCUUAACGAAUCGAUUUUUAACUCAAUUUCUAUUUUCUUAGGUACAUUGGAGUAAAUGAUGGUGAAAUGAGCAUUAGGUCCACACUUACCUAUAAAUGGUGGAGAAAAAUGGAAAUGUACUAAAAUGUCAAUUUUACACAUUUUCCUACUCCGGCUAGGAGAAACCAAGCCAAGCAAGGAAGAAGGAGCGGCCGCCGGACCAAAUGAACUUCAAAUGAGCUGAAACUUUCCAGAUCCAUUCUAGACAGCCCAAGGAUCAUUUCUUAUGAAGAGUGCAAGAACUUUUGUUGAGUGGAAGGCCUUCAAACAAUCAGCCCAAUUUUCUACAGAAGCAAAACUGGAAAACUGGACCUGUAAGAGGUCCAGCAGCAUUUUCGGCCCAACCACAUGGAAUAAAAAUCUGAAAUUUUACCAGGGUGAUCUACACUCAUAAUGGAACAUUUUUUAUGAAGAGGUCAUAGUGAAAUUGGGAAUGCUUGUUGGAGAAAUAAUUGAAGGAAUAAAGGGGCAGAAACUGAUCUAAAAAAACAGCUCAACAUCACAUGUUCAUGUUUCCUACCCACAUGAAGAAAGCUAGAUGCUUUUCUCUUUUUCCUUGGAUAUAUUUUUCUGCUCCAAUAGAUCAUCAUCACUUCCAUACUUCUGCACAUUCAUGCCUUGCUUUCAUUUCAUCAUUACUCCAUCUUUUCCAUAUUUUACAAACCACUAUCAUUAUUUUUCUUCCAUUUAUCAUUUCACUCUUCUUUUUCUUCCCUAUAUAAACACCUUCUCCUCUCACUCUAAAUAACAUUCCUUCAUCCAUUUCAUCUUCUUUGUCUCUCCAUUUCCAUUCCAUUUUUCUCUCCAUUCUCUAGUUGCAAAAUUCUGCGUUUUCAAGUAAGAAGAAGAAGAAGAAGAAGGAGCCGGGAAUAUCAUAUCCUCCAUCGUCCACCUUGAAGGCUUGCUUCCAAGAUUCAAGAUUUCAACGUUUCAAGCACUCCAUCUCCAUCUCCAACUCACGGUGUGUACCCUCAAUCCCCGGAAUAGAACGAUCCCUAUUUGCUUAUACUACUAACGAUGUUUUCAGGGUUAAAUUAUGCGCUUGCUUUGAGCGUAUCAAUUUUUGGCGCCGUUGCCGGGGAUUGAAAAAUCACUUGUUUUUGUUUAUAAUUGUUGUAUAUAAACUGUUUGAUACUUAGUUUAAAUUAACUAGGUUGUUUUUUUUUAUUGUUGAAUACGAGUUUAAUUGUGAGUUGUAAAUUAAAGAAGGAAUAGGUGAAGUCGUGUUUAUUAAUAUUGGCCUAAACCCUUUAUUGGUACCUAGUUCAGGUCCCUUAAGGUUGAGGGCGGCCUUUAUUAACAUUCAUUGAACUGUCUAACACACUUAGGACCUUUUACAUCCUAGUAAGAAUAUCCUAUGUGAGAUGGUGUCUAGGAAGGGGAUAACGUUCAUGACGGGUUUUUGAAUCCAGAAGUGCUUAUAAAUGGGCUUAGCUCAUGCCAAAAUGGAUUUUUCCUCUCGUGUUCACCCUCCCCUACCUGGCCAUUUCAGUAAGGUUGCCCAACGGAUGUAGGAGGGACUUUGUGUCUAGACGACUAUACUUGGGCCGCACGUCCACUUGAUUUACCGCUUGGAAUUAGAUUUGAUAUCAAUAAUAUUUAUGACAAAAGAAAAUGUAACAAAAUGUUGUGAUACACUAAGGUAAAAAAAAAAAAAAAAACAUUUGUGUAAAUAUUUUUCAUGUUUUUUUUUUACUCACUUGUGUACCUAACUUGUGUCUUGUGUACAAAAUACUUGUUAAUUAUACUUGUAGUUUGUAAUUCAUAGUUACUUGUUUAUAUUUUUUUUGUAUUUCUUUGUUAAUAUUAAGUUACUAACUUUAUUUAAUGUAGGUACCGUCUGGCUGCAAGACGUAAAAUACAAGCGCUGCUUGGGAGGCAACCCAAUUCAGAAUAUAAUCAGAUUUGCUUUCUCUUCCCCUUUUACUCCUCCAUUUUCUUUUUGUUUUAGUAGUUAUUUUCGUAAAUUCCAUCACUAUAUGCUUACUUAUUUCAUUGCAUGCUUUUAAUUGAUUACAUUGAGGAUAAUGCAAUAUUUAAGUGUGGGGGAAGGGAUUUAUAUUUUUGUCUUUCAUUUUGAAUCCUAUAAAUAUUUUUGUCUUUCAUUUUGUGUCCUAUAAAUAUUUUUGAGUCCUAUAUUUUUAAUAAUAAUAAUAAAAAAAAUUAAAAAAAAAAUAAUAAUAAUAAAAAAAAAAAAAAAAAAAAAUGCAUUCAUUCAGUCUUAUUAAUUUCAGCUAUUUACAAAAAAAAAAAAAUAAAUAAAUAAAUAAUAAUAAUAAUAAUAAAAAAAAAAAUAAAAAAAAUAAUAAUAAUAAUAAUAAUAAUACUCUAUACUAAGCCAUGUCUGCAUCUCUGUAGGAGUUGAGGCUGAGCUCAAGGGAAAUGUGAGAGCCACCGCCAUAACCGCUACCUCCCUCGGAAGUAGUCUUCAUGAUGCCCAAGAUGUCCUCACCAUGCAUGGGGAACAAUGGAAGGGUUUCAAUCUCCUGGUGAUCUCCUCCUCGUUGUUGCUGGGAUGUUUGUCCUCCUGUUGUGCCAAAAGAGUUGUACUGGUAUUAGUGUUGAAGUGUGAGGAAGAAUAUGAAACAAAUUUUAAAUCAAGAAAUCAUUCAUUACCAGUAGAAUCGGUGGAACCAAAGUUGAGAUUAAUGGAUCUACCAUCAUCAGUAGAACUAGUGGACCCAAAAUUGAUGUCAAUGGAUCCACCAGCUGGCCCAAAAUUGAUGUCGAUGGAUCCACCAGCACCAGUAGAACCAGUGGACCCAAAAUUGAGAUCAAUGGAUCCACCAGUACCAGGAGAACUAGUUCCCAUGGGCACUUGAGCAGCCUGAUUGCACCUCUUCAUCUGCUUCUCUCGAGCCCUGACAUUCUGGAACCAAAAAUAAAUGUUCUUGCCCUCAACAUGUCCAUACUGGUUCAGCUGGAGACAGAUCUCGUGAAUAUGCUCUGUAGUUGGGCGCUUAACUCCCUUGUCGUAGUAAAGAUCCUUGAGGAUCCUUAUUUGAUCUGGAGUAGGAACCCACCUGGCACGGCUUCGCCAGAAAUCUGUGUUGGCACUACUCCCGGCUGCUUGGUUGUUUCCUCCAUCCUCGAUUUGUUGCUGGGUUUGUAGCUCCAUCAGUUGCAGAGUUCGUGGUUCCAUGGUGAUGGGUUGAGGGGAUGUGAAGAUCGAAGAGUAAAGUUGUCAAGUGUUUGAAGGAGUUGUUGUUAAAGGGAUUAAGGAUGAUGAUGGUGUGUUGGAGAUCUGAAAGUUCAGAGGAAAGAUGGGAUUGAAUCAACUAGAUGGGAGAGAAGAUCAGAAGAGAAGGAUUGAAUCGAAGAAGAAAUAUUUUGAGUUUUGAAAGAAGAGGAAAAGCUGAAGAGUUGGGAGAGAGGGGCUGGAACUCAGGAGAGAUUUUCGUUCCUUUGGAGUGAACAGUUGCGCCCUCAGAAUGCACCUAUUUAUAGAGCGAGGUGAGCAGAUCUCCACCGUUGGAUGGACGAUUCCUGUGAUUCAUUCUACGCGUUGGAUUAAAGUCGCCCUGAAACCCGGAAAAGUUGUUGGCGCGUGGAGAGCGUGUAAGGGGACCGAGGGAAUCUCGAGGCGCUGUGGCAGACAGCUGUAGCCGAAAGCAGAUUUGACUGCCGUAAAUCACGGAAGGGAUAAGCCGUGACACAAGUGGGCCGUACUUGGGCCUGUCUCGGAUCAAGGCAUCACUGUAGCUGUGGGUGGAGGCCUGAUGGGCCGAGUUUCAGAAACAGUUUUGGACCUGAUGGGCUGAGUUUCAGAAACAGUUUUGGACAUGAUGGGCCGAGUUUCUGAAACAGUUUUGGAUGAGUUGGGCUGGGUUUCUGCAACAGUCUUGGAUGUUUUGUGCCGAAUUGUUGAAACAGUUGAAACAGUUGGUUUAAAUAAAAGGAUUGGUAUGGAUAAUAACGUGAGCAGCCGUGCUCGAGUGGUUGAGUGUAAAGUUCGUGUACAAGAGGUCUGAGGUUCGAACCUCGCCUCUCGUUUAUUUUUAUUAUGUUCGUUUAUGACAUAAUAAGUAUAAAAUUUGUACACAUUAUAUUAAGCACAGCUUGUGCUCCAGUGGUUGGGGACAAAGGUUUCGUGUAGCAGGUUAAGGUUUCGAACCUUGCCUCCCCCGUUUUUUUUUAUUAUUUAUGUCACUCCAUCAGAACCCUCCUCCGAAGGCUGAAACCAGCAAGAAGGCUGCCACUCGCCCGCAUACCGCUCCUCCAAAGGAGUAAAUGGAGGUACAAGUCUAGGCUGAAAGACUUUAAACAUUAAGCGCUGCAUGGGAGGCAACCCAUCUCAACCGUAGCUGUGGAGGAGCCAUCAACGCAGAUUUGCUCUCUUAAACUCUAUCUCCUCUAUUACUAUUUUCUGAUUGUAUCUUUGUUAUUUGCGUUUUUAGUUUUUGUUUUUAGGUUUUCUUGAGUUAAUCAUUCCAUUCACAUGAUAAUUGUUCAUUGCAUGCUCUAACUUGUUUAACAUUGAGGACAAUGUAUGAUUUAAGUGUGGGGGGAAGGAUUAAUGCUUGUAGUUAGUUUUUGUCAUAAAAAGAAAACAAAACAAAAAAAAAAAAAAAUCGAAAAAUGUCAGAAAAAUAAAAAAUUUCGUUGCUUUUGUUUUUGUUUUGAGUCUUAGGAUGCCUUUCAACUGUCUGGGAUGAUUCUAUAUCUCUGAAAUCAUGACUAAAAGAGGAUCACAACAUUGAGAUGAUUUUAAACAUGGUAUUCUUUGGUUAAUUGAGAUAUAUGAAAAAUGUGUGCCUUGUAGUGGAUAUGGAUUGCAUGACCUUGGUACAGAAUAUGAGCAUGUUAAGAUGAGGUGUGAUUCAUAAAGCCAUGUGAGAUAAUUGAACCAUGUCCCUUUUUCUUGGAGUGAAAUGAAAAAUAUAUUCUUAAUUUCUUGGCGAUGUUUUGAUGAUCUCAUUAUUCUUUCAUCUUGAUUGACUGCUUGCCAUAGAUUAAGUUUAAUGGACUAGAGAAUGCUAGAAUUCGCUCUUGUGCUUGUUGAGACGUGAUAUCAAUACAUGGCCCUGAUUCUGGAAGGGAUAGAGGUUCUCUAGGAAUUACCACCAUUGCCAAAUAAACUUGUGUCCCCAUUUGUGCCCGUCGUGGGACCCCCCUAGAUAAGCCCCUUUGAGCCUACUUUGAGCCUUUUCGUUCAUCACCCUUAAAAUCCUUAACCAUGAAGCUUAGUAUAGUUACAACCCUACCCUUUGUUCUAAGGACUUAGUGGAGCUAUCUUUUGAGACAUACUACAUGGGUUUGGUGCUAAGGAUGAAGAUUGAGAAGAGGUGAAAGUUCAAGUGUGGGGAUAGACUUGUCCAUAAAGAAAAAGAUAUGUUGAAGCCGUGAAAAAUGAAAAGAAAAGAGAAAAAUUGUGUACGGCUAAAAAGAAAAAGAAAAAAAAUAUAUAUAUAUGUUUAUGGACUUUCAUCCCCCAUACUUAGUGAUUUUGGAGUUUGCUUUGAAUUGAAGGCCCACUACAGAAAAAUUUGGCCUUUGUCCAUUUCACUAGAGUUCAAGGGAAGUUUAUAUUGAAGAUUGGGCCCAACAUGAAGACAUUUGGCCCUCUUAUAUUACCUCUAUGGGGAAGUGACGUUUUUGCAAUGCCUUGGUGAAAUAUUUCGAGAUCUAUACAUUCAUAUGAGCUCUACUAGGUUUUUAGGACACUUUGAUAAUCCUUACCUUUCAUUUCUUUAAACCUUGAGCCUUAGCCCCAUUACAACCUUUGAGAGGACCUUCUUGAUCCUUAAGAUGGGACAGCCUUUGAUGUGGAGAUGAGUUACAAGAGUUGAACCUAUGGCUUGGGUCCAUUCGUGCAAGUAGUUGAUAUCCUUCAUGAGAUCUUUUGAAAAAAAAAAAUUAUAUUCACAAAGUGCUUUUCGUUUCUUAUAUAUGUGAGCUAUUUGACUGCCUUAAAAUAUGUUCUCUCACAUAUAAAUGAGUGAUUAUAAGCUUUUAAGCAUUGCCUUGAUCUGAGAGAAGAAAAAGUGGAUAUACCUUGUGAGGAUAUGAAUCAUACUUGUCUGAAGCAUGCUAAGCUAAACCCCAAUCACCAUUAUUACAACCAAGUCCUACUUGUGUAUGUGUGGAUCAUAUGUUUUAAUUAACUCUCGAAUGCUUAACAUUGAUUCUUGGUUGAGUGCUAAUCUUGGUGUUGUGAAAGUAAGAGAUUUCUGAGACAAUAUGUUAAAGGGCAAUAGAGGUCUUUGUGAUGUCAACAUCUUGGUCUUUGUCUUUGAAUUUACUCUUUUAUGUGUGACGUUUUUUUUUUCUUUGUGUUUUGCUUUGUGUUUUACGUUUUUGGUUUCUUUGAGUCUUUGUGUUUUUGUUUCCAUACUUAGUCAUUUUUUUCGUUGGUUUCUUUGUUUUGUGUCAUAGUCUUUUUGGUUUGUUAGUUUUUGAUUUUGCUAAGGGACUAGCAAAAGCUAAGUGUGGGGGAAUUUGAUAGGAGCAUUUUAAUGUGGUAUUUUAAUAGUUAAUUCCUCACAUUUUGCUUAGUUAAUUCCUUAACGAAUCGAUUUUUAACUCAAUUUCUAUUUUCUUAGGUACAUUGGAGUAAAUGAUGGUGAAAUGAGCAUUAGGUCCACACUUACCUAUAAAUGGUGGAGAAAAAUGGAAAUGUACUAAAAUGUCAAUUUUACACAUUUUCCUACUCCGGCUAGGAGAAACCAAGCCAAGCAAGGAAGAAGGAGCGGCCGCCGGACCAAAUGAACUUCAAAUGAGCUGAAACUUUCCAGAUCCAUUCUAGACAGCCCAAGGAUCAUUUCUUAUGAAGAGUGCAAGAACUUUUGUUGAGUGGAAGGCCUUCAAACAAUCAGCCCAAUUUUCUACAGAAGCAAAACUGGAAAACUGGACCUGUAAGAGGUCCAGCAGCAUUUUCGGCCCAACCACAUGGAAUAAAAAUCUGAAAUUUUACCAGGGUGAUCUACACUCAUAAUGGAACAUUUUUUAUGAAGAGGUCAUAGUGAAAUUGGGAAUGCUUGUUGGAGAAAUAAUUGAAGGAAUAAAGGGGCAGAAACUGAUCUAAAAAAAACAGCUCAACAUCACAUGUUCAUGUUUCCUACCCACAUGAAGAAAGCUAGAUGCUUUUCUCUUUUUCCUUGGAUAUAUUUUUCUGCUCCAAUAGAUCAUCAUCACUUCCAUACUUCUGCACAUUCAUGCCUUGCUUUCAUUUCAUCAUUACUCCAUCUUUUCCAUAUUUUACAAACCACUAUCAUUAUUUUUCUUCCAUUUAUCAUUUCACUCUUCUUUUUCUUCCCUAUAUAAACAUCUUCUCCUCUCACUCUAAAUAACAUUCCUUCAUCCAUUUCAUCUUCUUUGUCUCUCCAUUUCCAUUCCAUUUUUCUCUCCAUUCUCUAGUUGCAAAAUUCUGCGUUUUCAAGUAAGAAGAAGAAGAAGAAGAAGGAGCCGGGAAUAUCAUAUCCUCCAUCGUCCACCUUGAAGGCUUGCUUCCAAGAUUCAAGAUUUCAACGUUUCAAGCACUCCAUCUCCAUCUCCAACUCACGGUGUGUACCCUCAAUCCCCGGAAUAGAACGAUCCCUAUUUGCUUAUACUACUAACGAUGUUUUCAGGGUUAAAUUAUGCGCUUGCUUUGAGCGUAUCAUAUA